UACGAAGGGGGCUAGCGUUGCUCGGAAUCACUGGGCGUAAAGCGCACGUAGGCGGAUAUUUAAGUCGGUGGUGAAAUCCUGGAGCUCAACUCCAGAACUGCCUCCGAUACUGAAUGUCUUCGAGUCCGGGAGAGGUGAGUGGAACUGCGAGUGUAGAGGUGAAAUUCGUAGAUAUUCGCAAGAACACCAGUGGCGAAGGCGGCUCACUGGCCCGGUACUGACGCUGAGGUGCGAAAGCGUGGGGAGCAAACGGG
rnacentral:rRNA from 1 species